AUCCCUUAUGUGCAGGCUAUCUUGCGGAGGGUUUUCACAACCACAAUGAUUUCCAUCUCUGAAAAUCACAAAGCCCUAGGUUGACCUGUAGCAGUGCUUUCGGUGGGAAUUACGGAUACUGCGUCCAUGAUCUGUGCAAUGGGGCUUCAUUUGACUUUGACAGGGAUGAAUGUCGUGGCUCCUCUCGUCCCAUGGUACUGCAGAUGUACGUCCGAUAGUGUUCUGCAAACACACCUCUCCCCAUGUGUAUGAGGCUCAUGUCAACGAGUACGGUGAAAACGGUUCGGAAUGCCUGCAGACACCAGCUCAAGGAGCAUGAUGCGUUCGUAUAGAGAAAACCUAUUCGUCAAGAUUUUCAACCGAAUACUGAUGGGAGAUAAUAUACAUUUUGCUAUUCGAGCACAAUUCGACUACUUUUUUUCAAUUUAAUACUGCUAACUGAGGAUAUGGGCUCGCAAAACAAUUUAAAUUCUGCCUUGAUUGAAUCAUGGAAUCGAAAAAUCCGCAAUUCAUCCUGGCUAACCGAUGUGAGUUGCUUCCCAGCGUACUACUACCAGCCCCGCUGGGGGAUAUCAGCUUCCCUGCAGGGAGUGUUUCCUUUCACGAUACUAUAGUCAUUAACCCUUUUUAAGUCAUCCAGUUGCUUUUCACAACCCUGCAAAAUGUAAGAGAGAGAGAGUAGAAUAUCAACAAGUAAUCUCAUUCCUGACUCAGAACCCAUCAUGAAUAAUGUAUGGUCUUCGUAAUGCCAACCAAAAAGAAUCAAACAAAC
rnacentral:sRNA from 1 species